GGGCCCGCACAAGCGGUGGAGCAUGUGGUUUAAUUCGACGCAACGCGAAGAACCUUACCAAGGCUUGACAUCCCUCUGGCCGGACUUUAAUCGGUCCUUUUCUUCGGAACAGAGGAGACAGGUGGUGCAUGGUUGUCGUCAGCUCGUGUCGUGAGAUGUUGGGUUAAGUCCCGCAACGAGCGCAACCCUUGCAUCUAGUUGCCAUCAUUAAGUUGGGCACUCUAGAAGGACUGCCGGUGACAAACCGGAGGAAGGUGGGGAUGACGUCAAAUCAUCAUGCCCCUUAUGUCUUGGGCUACACACGUGCUACAAUGGGCAGUACAGAGGGUCGCGAGACCGCGAGGUUUAGCCAAUCCCAUAAAGCUGCUCUCAGUUCGGAUUGCAGGCUGCAACUCGCCUGCAUGAAGUCGGAAUCGCUAGUAAUCGCAGGUCAGCAUACUGCGGUGAAUACGUUCCCGGGCCUU
rnacentral:rRNA from 1 species